UAANAUUUUCCCUUUGGGAAUUUACGAAAAACAAACUAUUGGCAAACGCAUUUGCCAAGGAUGUUUUCAUUAAUCAAAAACGAAGGUUAGGGGAUCGAAAACGAUCAAAUACCGUUGUAUUCUUAACAGUAAACUAUGCCGACAAGGGAUCGGACAACCUCAAUCUUAUGCGUCGUUCGGCACCUUACAANAAAUCAAAGUCUUUGGGUUCUGGGGGGAGUAUGGUCGCAAGGNUAAAACUUAAAGGAAUUGACGGANGGGCACCACCAGGAGUGGAGCCGGCGGCUUAAUUUGACUCAACACGGGGAAACUCACCAGGUCCAGACAUAACUAGGAUUGACAAAUUGAUACCUCUUUCUUGAUUUUAUGGGUGGUGGUGCAUGGCCGUUCUUAGUUGGNGGAGUGAUUUGUCNGGUUAAUUCCGAUAACGAACGAGACCUUAACCUGCUAAAUAUCCGGGCCGGCUUUUGCUGGUCACCGGCUUCUUAGAGGNACUGUCACCGUCUAGCUAACGGAAGUUUGAGGCAAUAACAGGUCUGUGAUGCCCUUAUAUGUUCUGGGCCGCACGCGCGCUACACUGACAGAGCCAGCGAGUUCUUUUCCUUGGCCCGGAAGGUCANGGGUAAUCUUGUGAAACUCUGUCGUGCUGGGGAUAGAGCAUNAAAANAAAANA
rnacentral:rRNA from 2 species